rnacentral:rRNA from 1 species
UACGUAGGGGGCAAGCGUUGUCCGGAUUUAUUGGGCGUAAAGAGCGUGUAGGCGGCUAGGUAGGUCCGUUGUGAAAACUCGAGGCUCAACCUCGAGACGCCGGUGGAAACCAUCUAGCUAGAGUCCGGAAGAGGAGAGUGGAAUUCCUGGUGUAGCGGUGAAAUGCGCAGAUAUCAGGAAGAACACCCGUGGCGAAGGCGGCUCUCUGGUACGUGACUGACGCUGAGACGCGAAAGCGUGGGGAGCGAAUAGG